UCCCUGCAGUGCAGGCAACACACGCUCAUCUGUACACAACACAAGUCCGCCUUUUCCCCCCUUCUCUCUCUCUCUCUCUCUCUCUCUCUCUCUAGGGUUAGGGUUUCUUAACGGCGUUAUAUUUGAACCCUUGAGAGAUCAAAUAAUGGUGCAGCAAAUCCCCUUUUUGUGCGAAAAGCUCUUUAAUUCAAUCCUUCUUCACUCCUUCAGCUCAAAUAUGGCUUGAUUCUGCUCUUCUCUCGGUGGCAUUCCCGAUACGGAAAUGUAUAAUGUUCCUGAACAAGGACAUGCAGAUGCUUAUAUGAUUCAAGGGAAGGAGCCAAUGCAGAUCACCAGUCCGCUGCUUCAAAACUUUGAAACUAUGUACAAUGAAGAACUGCCCGAGUUUGUUGUUGAUCAGGGAUUAUAUUAUCCUACUAC